rnacentral:rRNA from 1 species
AAAGGGGCUUCGGCCCUGAGUAAAGUGGCGCACGGGUGAGUAACACGUAGGUAACCUGCCUCUAAGAUUGGGAUAACAUGUCGAAAGACGUGCUAAUACCGAAUGAGACCACAGUUUCCUCGGAAACAGGGGUCAAAGGUAGCCUCUAUUUAUAAGCUAUCACUUAGAGAUGGGCCUGCGUACCAUUAGCUAGUUGGUAGGGUAACGGCCUACCAAGGCGAAGAUGGUUAGCUGGUCUGAGAGGAUGAUCAGCCACACUGGAACUGAGACACGGUCCAGACUCCUACGGGAGGCAGCAGUGGGGAAUAUUGCGCAAUGGGCGAAAGCCUGACGCAGCAACGCCGCGUGAGUGAUGAAGGCCUUCGGG